rnacentral:rRNA from 1 species
AGAUUGAACGCUGGCGGCAUGCUUUACACAUUCAAGUCGAGCGGCAGCACGGGUNCUUGCACCUGGUGGCGAGUGGCGGACGGGUGAGUAAUACAUCGGAUCGUAUCCAGAAGAGGGGGAUAACGCAUCGAAAGAUGUGCUAAUACCGCAUAUUCUCUGAGGAGGAAAGCAGGGGAUCGAAAGACCUUGCGCUUUGGGAGCGGCCGAUGUCUGAUUAGCUAGUUGGUGGGGUAAAGGCCUACCAAGGCGACGAUCAGUAGUUGGUCUGAGAGGACGACCAGCCACACUGGGACUGAGACACGGCCCAGACUCCUACGGGAGGCAGCAGUGGGGAAUUUUGGACAAUGGGCGCAAGCCUGAUCCAGCAAUGCCGCGUGAGUGAAGAAGGCCUUCGGGGUUGUAAAGCAUCUUUCAGUCGGAGAAGAAAAGGCUGCGAGUGAAUAACUGUAGUCUAUGACGAA